UGUAGUUUGCAUACUGCGUUACGUGAGAUCUCAUCCUCUCCCCGCCCUAGAGCCCUUUGCCGGUCAUUCCCGGCUCUCCGCCACAGCAGACGGCGGCCCCGGCGGGGCUGCAGACCUCAGGGGUGCCGCGGUGCCUGAGAAGGAUCGGACCGGCUCGCUCAGAGGAGCCGCGCCCGCUGCCGCCCAGGGCGGUCGGGGGAGCCGAGCCCCUUCCGCCGCCGCGGGAGGACCGAGCCCGCCUCGCUUCGGGGGUGUGGUGGCGGUGCGGAAAUCUCCCGCUUCUCCCCCCCAGCAGACCGGGAGGGCGAGGCCGGGGGUGCUCCCGGGCCGGGCGGGCUGCGAGGGUCCGCGCCAGGGGUGGCCACCAUUCCGGCCGGCAGCCGGGGGAGCGGCGCAGCCGGGGCGGGGGGAGGGAAGGGAAGGGGAGAGGCCGCCCCGCUCACCUGCCCGCCGGCGCCGGCGGGGGCCGCCGCCAUCUUAGAGCCCCGUGCUGGGCGGCCGCGGGGAAGGAGCGCGAGGCGCGGGGUGGGCGAGGGUGGGCAGGGCUGGGGGGGAACAGGAAGCGCUGUUGAGCCCCUGGAAUAACAGAAUCAAAGAAUCAGGUUGGUUGGAAAAGACCUCUGAGGUCAUGGAGUCCAACCUAUGACCAAACACCACCAUGUCAACCAGACUAUGGCACUAAGUGCCACAUCAUUAAAAAUCUCCAGGGACAGUGGCUUCACCAUCUCCCUGGGUAGUCCAUUCCAAUGUUUAGUCACCCUUUCUGUGAAGAAAUUCUUUAUAAUAUCCAAUGUAAACCUCCCUUGGCGGAGCUGAGGACUGUCUUCUUGUCCUGUCAGUGUUUACCUGGGAGAACAGUCCGACCCUCACCUGGCUACUCCCUCCUUUCAGCUAAUCCACACCGUAUGUGUUACUCCCUUGAAACUUGCAAAUCACCUUGGUGCCUGAGAGACCCUCUCCCGUGCCGGCUCCUGGAGGAGGCCCACUGCUGCGACAGCGCCUUGAAUUGAAUUUGGCUGUAAAGGAACACAAAAUGUUUAUGACAUCCACAUGUGCAAGCAACUGUUGCCAUGUUGCUAUUUAUAUAACCAUUUUACUGCAUAGCACAAGCUGAAGAAUAGAAAAAGCCAUUUCCAGUAUGUGUGUGUGCACGCAUGCAUGUAGGACAAUAGAAAAUGUUUGAUCAAGCAACAACAAAAAUAUGUCUGAAAACUUGGAGCUUUAUUUAGAAUUUAAUUUGCACUGAGUACUCGUUAGCAGAAAUAGUCAUUGUAAAUUAUAUGCAACUGAUACACAAAGAGCAAAAGUUGUGUGUGCAAAUAUAUGAAUAAGCUGUCCCUCAUGGAAUUAAUUAUGUGCAUGCCUUCGCUUGUUCAGACCACUGAAGCUAGAUGUAGUAUGUAUAAUGGAGGAAUGGAACUACAGUACAAGUAUUACAUUGCAAAUAUUUAAUUUUCUUGGAAAAAUUAUGUGGGUGGCUUCCAUUUCAGCUAGGUAGCUUUAAACAAAUAGAAACCUCAACUAAGAAAGACUAGACAUCAUAAAGGGAUAAAACUGACAACAGAAAUGUCUUUAAUACCUUAUUUUAGCUUCUAAAAAUAUCUCUAGGGUAUUUAAAAUCAUAAAAAGAGGAAAUCAAUGGAGAAGAAGAAACUGGUACAGAGAUCCGUACUUUUUUCAUUCUACAUUCAAGUUCAAUGUUUUCAAUCAACAAGACAGAUCUAUCAUUUUAGAAUUGCAAAAGACAAGAUGAUUAUUAAAGAAAACUUUGAUAAUAACAGUGACAUAUCAACUAGUCCAAUUAACAUGAUAGGACAGGCAAAUUCAGUAAUAAAGUAUGGGGAGAGAGAGAGGGAGGGAACCACUGGAAAGUAUUUUGUGCGUUCUGUCACAGAGGUGGGACAUACAAGGGUUGAGGUUUGUUCAGAUAUGUUUUGGGGGUUUGAGGUGCUUAUCUCUUUUAACUGGUAACUACAGACUUAGUCUGGAUGGAGACUUUAAAUGGAGACUUUAAAAUUCAGUAAAUUUAAUAUCUUUUUCUUUCUGCAUCUGCAAAUUGAUACUUAAAAUCCCCACCAAGUUUAAAGGAACUUGAGCAGAAAAUGAGUAUUUUUUUUUGUUCAGACUGAAUGAUCACCAUGUUUUACACUAGCUUGGUGGUGUUUUUUGUUUCCAAAAUACAUAAUCUGUCACCUAUGUAGUCCUAUUCCUGGAUUGCUGUCCAUAAAUGAUCAAAUAAGAUUAGCUCAGUUGGUUAGAGCAUGGUGCUAACACCACCAAGGUUGUGGGUUUGAUCCCCGUAUGGGCCAUUUACGUAAGAGUUGGACUUGAUGAUCCUUGUGGGUCCCUUCCAACUCAGAAUAUUGUGUGAAAUUUCUGUGAAAUGAUCACACAUCCUUCAGGUUACCCAGAAUAAUGACUGACUUGCUGUACAUGUUUUUCCAAAAAGUUCUCAUUAUAUUUAUGUAGUAAAAAUACUUAAUGUUCUUAUAUAAGGAUACACAGUUGCAACUUCAUAGUAUUUGAUAACAGAACAUAAAAAUAGGGGAAAGCACAGAUAGAUCUGUUUUUACUGACAAAGGGGAUAGGGCAGAACAGGAGAUUAUUACUUUUGUAAACCACCAGGUUACAGAUGCCUUGGGGAGUUCAUCUGGCUCAUAGAGUGACACCUUUUCUUCCCUACUUUGGAGGCCUCCUGGUAUGUCCAUGCUUCAACCACACACCAAGGGUACAGGAGAUUGUCACUGUAUCAAUUUAGAGACCACAUUAUAGAAACAUGGAUUUGGUUUGGAUAGUAAAAUUCAGAUUAAAGUUGGUUUAAAACAUAACCUGUCUCAUUGGAUGCUCUCUAGUUCAGUCACCCACAUUCUCCAUCCUCUCUGGGGAAAAUACCUAAGAAGUUUAUCACAGUCUAGCAAGUGAAACUUGGACAAUAAUGAGGUGAUGGGCUAAACCAUUCUGCUAUUCUUUUACUUCCCAAUGAUUUGGACAGGGCUUUACUGGGAAACUGAUAGCACAAUAGCUCUUUGUAACUUAACCUGUUGUUCAAAUGGCUUCGAAAGAUGGAACAUGCUAAAACCAAUGUCUAACAUGAUAUUAUUAAAUACCAAAGUUUAUUAUCUUCAGAAUUCAA